GGGCCCGCACAAGCGGUGGAGCAUGUGGUUUAAUUCGAUGCAACGCGAAGAACCUUACCAGGGCUUGACAUACUACAAAUUCUUUAGAGAUAAAGAAGUGCCUUCGGGAAUGUAGAUACAGGUGGUGCAUGGCUGUCGUCAGCUCGUGUCGUGAGAUGUUGGGUUAAGUCCCGCAACGAGCGCAACCCUUAUUUUUAGUUACUAAUUCGUUAGGUUUUCUAGAAAGACUGCCGGUGACAAACCGGAGGAAGGUGAGGAUGACGUCAAGUCAGCAUGCCCCUUAUGCCCUGGGCUACACACGUGCUACAAUGGUUAAGACAAAGAGUCGCGAGCUCGCGAGAGUCAGCU
rnacentral:rRNA from 1 species